GAUAACUGGCUUGUGGCAGCCAAACGUUCAUAGCGACGUUGCUUUUUGAUCCUUCAAUGUCGGCUCUUCCUAUCGUUGUGAAGCAGAAUUCAAGUGUUGGAUUGUUCACCCACCAAUAGGGAACGUGAGCUCGGUUUAGACCGUCCUGAGACAGGUU
rfam:Beta vulgaris subsp. vulgaris Bvchr7.sca001.con0009.1, whole genome shotgun sequence.